CUACGGGUGGCUGCAGUGAGGAAUAUUGCACAAUGGGGGGAACCCUGAUGCAGCAACGCCGCGUGGAGGAUGACGCAUUUCGGUGUGUAAACUCCUUUUAUAUGUCAAGAAAAUGACGGUAGCAUAUGAAUAAGCACCGGCUAACUCCGUGCCAGCAGCCGCGGUAAUACGGAGGGUGCAAGCGUUACUCGGAAUCACUGGGCGUAAAGGACGCGUAGGCGGGUUGGAAAGUCAGGUGUGAAAGCCUCCAGCUUAACUGUAGAACUGCACUUGAAACUUCUAAUCUAGAGUAUGGGAGGGGGGGAUGGAAUUAGUGGUGUAGGGGUAAAAUCCGUAGAUAUCACUAGGAAUACCUAAAGCGAAGGCGAUCUCCUGGAACAUUACUGACGCUAAGGCGUGAAAGCGUGGGGAGCAAACAGGAUUAGAUACCCCCGUAGUC
rnacentral:rRNA from 1 species